GACCAUUUGAGUGCUGCAUUGAUAAUGAUAAAAUAAAAACCUCCAACACAUUAGGUAGAAUUCCCUAUGGAGGUUUCACAGAGAGACUCUGAAAAGAGUCUCAUAGGAUAAAAACACAUAAAGAAAUUUUCCUUUUUUUCCCUAAUGGGGAGGAGAUGGAAAGAAAGGGGAAAAGGAAAAGGAGUGAAAGAAAGGAAAGAAAGAAAGGGGAAAGGAAGGAAAGAAAGAAAGGGGAAAGGAAGGAAGGAAGGAAGGAAGGAAGGAAGGAAGGAAGGAAGGAAGGAAGGAAGGAAGGAAGGAAGGGGAAAG
rnacentral:lncRNA from 1 species